GGAAAGAUGAAAAGAACUUUGAAAAGAGAGUUAAACAGUACGUGAAAUUGUUGAAAGGGAAACGAUUGAAGUCAGUCAUACCAACGGGAAAUCAACCUUUUGAGCUUUGUAUCGUGGGUUCGAAGAGUUUAAACGCCUUCGGGUUCGCGAGAUUGGGAUCUUCUGGUGUACUUUCUCGUACGGUUAGUCAACAUCGGUUUUGAAUGUCAUAAAAUGACUGGAGGAAUGUAGCUUCGAUCUCGUAUCGAAGUGUUAUAGCCUUUGGUAGAUGUGAUGUUUGAGACCGAGGAUUGCAACGGAUACCCUUCAUGGGCUAUUCGUCUGAUCUCUGAUACGUUGCCUUGACGUUGAAAGCUUGCUUAUGAUGUUAGGGUAUUACGGUCAAAAGGUUGGAACGGAUUAAAUUCGUUAAGGAUGUUGACGUAGUGACUUUAAACGACCCGUCUUGAAACACGGACCA
rnacentral:rRNA from 2 species